rnacentral:rRNA from 1 species
GAUGAACGCUGGCGGCGUGCCUAAUACAUGCAAGUCGAGCGAACGGACGAGAAGCUUGCUUCUCUGAUGUUAGCGGCGGACGGGUGAGUAACACGUGGAUAACCUACCUAUAAGACUGGGAUAACUUCGGGAAACCGGAGCUAAUACCGGAUAAUAUUUUGAACCGCAUGGUUCAAAAGUGAAAGACGGUCUUGCUGUCACAUAUAGAUGGAUCCGCGCUGCAUUAGCUAGUUGGUAAGGUAACGGCUUACCAAGGCAACGAUGCAUAGCCGACCUGAGAGGGUGAUCGGCCACACUGGAACUGAGACACGGUCCAGACUCCUACGGGAGGCAGCAGUAGGGAAUCUUCCGCAAUGGGCGAAAGCCUGACGGAGCAACGCCGCGUGAGUGAUGAAGGUCUUCGGAUCGUAAAACUCUGUUAUUAGGGAAGAACAUAUGUGUAAGUAACUGUGCACAUCUUGACGGUACCUAAUCAGAAAGCCACGGCUAACUACGUG